rnacentral:rRNA from 1 species
GUGCCAGCAGCCGCGGUAACACGUAGGGUGCGAGCGUUAAUCGGAAUUACUGGGCGUAAAGCGUGCGCAGGCGGUUCCGCAAGUCAGGUGUGAAAGCCCCGGGCUUAACCUGGGAAUGGCAUUUGAAACUACGGGACUGGAGUGCGGCAGAGGGAGGUGGAAUUCCACGUGUAGCGGUGAAAUGCGUAGAGAUGUGGAGGAACACCGAUGGCGAAGGCAGCCUCCUGGGCCAGCACUGACGCUCAUGCACGAAAGCGUGGGGAGCAAACAGGAUUAGAUACCCUGGUAGUCCACGCCCUAAACGAUGUCUACUAGUUGUUGGGGGAGUUAAAUCCCUUAGUAACGCAGCUAACGCGCGAAGUAGACCGCCUGGGGAGUACGGUCGCAAGAUUAAAACUCAAAGGAAUUGACGG